rnacentral:rRNA from 1 species
ACGGAAGGCAGCAGUGGGGAAUAUUGCACAAUGGGGGAAACCCUGAUGCAGCGACGCCGCGUGAGUGAUGAAGUAUUUCGGUAUGUAAAGCUCUAUCAGCAGGGAAGAAAAUGACGGUACCUGACUAAGAAGCACCGGCUAAAUACGUGCCAGCAGCCGCGGUAAUACGUAUGGUGCAAGCGUUAUCCGGAUUUACUGGGUGUAAAGGGAGCGUAGGCGGCAUGGCAAGUCAGAUGUGAAAGCCCGGGGCCCAACCCCGGAACUGCAUUUGAAACUGUCAGGCUAGAGUGCCGGAGAGGUAAGCGGAAUUCCUAGUGUAGCGGUGAAAUGCGUAGAUAUUAGGAGGAGCACCAGUGGCGAAGGCGGCUUACUGGACGGUAACUGACGCUGAGGCUCGAAAGCGUGGGGAGCAAACAGGAUUAGAUACCCUGGUA